UUUUUUAUCGCAGACCAAGUACAGCAGUUUUGGUAGUCCCGUCCAAAGAGCACUUUCAGUGCAUUUUCCGAAGUGGAACUCACAGGGAAAGCGUGGAUGGAGGGGGAGAAUCUGAGAAUCUGGGGAGAAACAAGCAGAGGAAGGGGACUCUUAUCACAGCGCCUAAACUAUUGGGAGAAUAAGGACGCUGGGAUUUUCCAGAGUGCGCAGAAGUUUAUUUAUAAUCAGUGAGAGAGAGAAGGGGCGGAUAGACGGAGGCAGCUGGGCUCGCACAAGUGGAGCUCGCUCAGACUGCAGAAGAACAUGCACCACACAGUAAAAUACCCCGUGUUAAUUGAACUCUAACAUAGUAGGCCUACACAUGAGUCCAAUAGGACAUUUGUACUCUGUAAGAGUUUACACUUUUUUUUUUUUAUUGUGCAACAGUCACGUUAUAUUCUGGUAUAUCCUUCAUAUCCUCCUGAGAUCCACUGGAAAAGUUGAGUAUUUAGGACAGGAGAAGUUCCCUGGCUAACAUACUCAUUUACCCAUAGGGCAAAUGGGGGAUGCCUGGUUCUUCUAACAUAACAAUGGCAGAUUUGGAAUGUUUGAUCAAUGAACGGGCACAACUCUUGCUCUCAUUAAAAAUAUUUGGAUUUUAUUUUUUAAAAUCUCUAUUAAAAAAUUGGAAUGUUUAAAAUGUGAAUAUAAAUCAAGGCUACAUUAAUAAAGGUGAUAUCUCCCAGACAUA